UACGGGGGGAGCAAGCGUUGUUCGGAUUUACUGGGCGUAAAGGGCGCGUAGGCGGCCUCUGCAAGUCGACUGUGAAAUCUCCGGGCUUAACCCGGAACGGUCAGCCGAUACUGCAGGGCUAGAGUGCAGAAGGGGCAACUGGAAUUCUCGGUGUAGCGGUGAAAUGCGUAGAUAUCAGGAGGAACACCGAUGGCGAAGGCAGGUCUCUGGGCAUUAACUGACGCUGAGGAGCGGAAAGCAUGGGGAGCGAACAGG
rnacentral:rRNA from 1 species